AGGCCUGAGUCACCACACCCAGCCAGGCCAACAGUUUAUUAAGAAGGUAAAUAGAUAUAGACAAGUAUAAUUAAUAGAAAAUAGCCUAAACUGUCUCAGAUAUUUCCUGUCUUAAUUUGAUCAAAAAUUGCUAGGAAGGAAAAAAAAAAAAAAACACACACAAAAACCAAACCAGAUUACUUAGGAGUCCUAAGUAAUCUAGUAACAGUUUGAGGGGAAUUAAACAGAUAGGCAUUUUUAUUUCAUUUAAAUCUUACUAUCAACUAUUCUUAACAGGCUAAAGGUUGGUCUUCAGGUUGUGGCAGUCAAGGCUCCAGGCUUUGGUGACAAUAGAAAGAACCAGCUUAAAGAUAUGGCUAUUGCUACUGGUGGUGCAGUGUUUGGAGAAGAGGGGUUGACCCUGAAUCUUGAAGACGUUCAGCCUCAUGACUUAGGAAAAGUUGGAGAGGUCAUUGUGACCAAAGACGACGCCAUGCUCUUAAAAGGAAAAGGUGACAAGGCUCAAAUUGAAAAACGUAUUCAAGAAAUCAUUGAGCAGUUAGAUGUCACAACUAGUGAAUAUGAAAAGGAAAAACUGAAUGAACGGCUUGCAAAACUUUCAGAUGGAGUAGCUGUGCUGAAGGUUGGUGGGACAAGUGAUGUUGAAGUGAAUGAAAAGAAAGACAGAGUUACAGAUGCCCUUAAUGCUACAAGAGCUGCUGUUGAAGAAGGCAUUGUUUUGGGAGGGGGUUGCGCCCUGCUUCGAUGCAUUCCAGCCUUGGACUCAUUGACUCCAGCUAAUGAAGAUCAAAAAAUUGGUAUAGAAAUUAUUAAAAGAACACUCAAAAUUCCAGCAAUGACCAUUGCUAAGAAUGCAGGUG
rnacentral:sRNA from 1 species